ACAGAAUAGGACACAGGUGAUAACCGGCCAGAUAAAUGUGGCUAUUGAAAUUAAUUUCAAAUUCAAACAACACAACACUAGCCACAACUGAAAAUGGUGAAACAUAUGAGUUUCAAUGAGGCAAUAGAUAGAAAUUAGAAAAUUUGCAUGGGAUAAGAAAAUAAACUGAAAUAUAUUUUUUAUGAAUAGAAUUAGAUUGAAUAUUCAAGAGAUUGCACAGUAUAGUUUAAAUCUAACCAUUGACACAUAAAAUUCUUUUGAAGUUUUAGUUUUCUUUCUUUUUUUCUGUCAAACUACUUUCUACCUUUUGCAGUUGCAUCAUCAAGCUGAAAAUAAUGCAGAAAGUUGCAAUUAGGGAAUAGGCACAUUAUAAAUUGCGAUUAUGGAAUCAUAAAAUGCUUGCAAGAAAAAAACCACCACAUGCACUGAUUUCCUGUAUAGAAGAAGGGUGAGAAAUCUGCAAAUGCACAAAGAAUUAAGCAAAGAACAACUUGCUUGGGAUUCCAAAUAUAAUUAUAUUUUAGGAUUUAUCUAGUGAGUGUGCCAGUAUUUUGCUUUUAGGAAUAUAACAAAAAUUAGAAAAUCAUAGUGGGUUGAUAAAUGAAUUGCCAACAUUGACACUAUUUACAAAAUACACUGAUAAGGAAAGUGCCAUAUAAUAUAAUACGAAGCAGGUUCUCGCAAGGGAAAGGAAAAGGUAUCUGCAUAGGCACAAUAACAAAUCUUAACUCAUUCCCAUGACUAACCAAUAGUUCUUCAGUCCUUUUUCUUAUGCCAACUAUGGCCGUCCCUAUGAAAGAACAGAAGGAUCCUUUAGGUGACUUUAGAGGUGGUUCCUCUGAUAACUGUUGCCAUCUUUAUGAAAGAAAACAAGGAUCCUUCUGUUAAAAAGAAACAGAGAACACCCAUUGAAGAACUCAAUGUUUGUGAACUGCAGAAAAAAGGCUAGUAGAUUUGAACAGUGAUGCAAAUAUCAAUAAAUUGUCCAAAAUGUACAUGAAAUGCUUACGAGGUGGCUUUAGAAGUGGUUCCACUGAAAAAAAAAAAAAAAUUUCAUGAUUUUUUAAUAGGAAGAACACUUCUGAAGGCCUCAACAUCCUGCUUGAGCUUGUAGAAACAUUUCAAAGAUGUUAAAUCCUGAGACCAAAUUGAAGACAGCCAUCACAAAUUCAACUGAAAUUUUCCACAAAGCUAGCAAAAAACCUUCGUGCUAAUGAAUUGCUGAACCUCUAAUAAGGGUAAUUUCUUAGUCAUUCUGUUUACUAUACUCAACGUAUUCGUGUUACUUUACUCUUUCGUAACGAUUUAACAAUAAAACAUAUUCAUUAAUAUUAAUGUGC
rnacentral:misc_RNA from 1 species